UACGUAGGUGGCAAGCGUUGUCCGGAAUUAUUGGGCGUAAAGAGCUCGUAGGCGGUCUGUUGCGUCGGCUGUGAAAACCCGGGGCUCAACCCCGGGCCUGCAGCCGAUACGGGCAGACUAGAGUUCGGCAGGGGAGACUGGAAUUCCUGGUGUAGCGGUGAAAUUCGUAGAUAUCGGGAGGAACACCAGUGGCGAAGGCGGCGAUCUGGGCAGAUACUGACGCUGAGGUGCGAAAGCGUGGGGAGCAAACAGG
rnacentral:rRNA from 1 species